rnacentral:piRNA from 1 species
UGAGGUAAAAGGCUGUACUCCUGAACUUC